rnacentral:rRNA from 1 species
GACGAACGCUGCGGCACGCCUAACACAUGCAAGUCGAGCGGUUCGGAGAUUGGAACUGAGGGAUUAAGGAAUUAAUCUCUGAGCUCCAAUUUCCGGAUAGCGGCGGACGGGUGAGUAACACGUGAGGAACCUGCCUUUCAGAGGGGGAUAACGUUUGGAAACGAACGCUAAUACCGCAUGAAGUAUAUUUACGGCAUCGUAGAUAUACCAAAGGAGCAAUCCGCUGAAAGAUGGCCUCGCGGCUGAUUAGCUAGUUGGCGGGGUAACGGCCCACCAAGGCGACGAUCAGUAGCCGGACUGAGAGGUUGAACGGCCACAUUGGGACUGAGACACGGCCCAGACUCCUACGGGAGGCAGCAGUGGGGGAUAUUGCACAAUGGGCGAAAGCCUGAUGCAGCGAUGCCGCGUGGAGGAAGAAGGUCUUCGGAUUGUAAACUCCUGUCUUUAGGGACGAUAAUGACGGUACCUAAGGAGGAAGCUCCGGCUAACUACGUG